rnacentral:rRNA from 1 species
ACUCCUACGGGAGGCAGCAGUGGGGAAUAUUGGACAAUGGGGGCAACCCUGAUCCAGCCAUGCCGCGUGAGUGAAGAAGGCCCUAGGGUCGUAAAGCUCUUUCAACUGUGAAGAUAAUGACGGUAGCAGUAGAAGAAACCCCGCUAACAUCCGUGCCAGCAGCCGCGGUAAUACGGAGGGGGUUAGCGUUGUUCGGAAUUACUGGGCGUAAAGCGCACGUAGGCGGACUAUUAAGUUAGAGGUGAAAU